GGGACCGUAGCUCAGCCCGGGAGAAAUCAUUCCCGAAAGCGACCGGCUGAAGACCGGUGUGUCGUGGGUUCAAAUCCCACCGGUCCCA
rnacentral:tRNA from 1 species